CCUACGGGGGGCAGCAGUGGGGAAUAUUGGACAAUGGGGGGAACCCUGAUCCAGCCAUGCCGCGUGUGUGAAGAAGGCCCUCGGGUUGUAAAGCACUUUCAGUGAGGAAGAACGCCUGGUGGUUAAUACCCAUCAGGAAAGACAUCACUCACAGAAGAAGCACCGGCUAACUCCGUGCCAGCAGCCGCGGUAAUACGGAGGGUGCGAGCGUUAAUCGGAAUUACUGGGCGUAAAGCGCGCGUAGGUGGCUUGAUAAGCCGGUUGUGAAAGCCCCGGGCUCAACCUGGGAACGGCAUCCGGAACUGUCAAGCUAGAGUGCAGGAGAGGAAGGUAGAAUUCCCGGUGUAGCGGUGAAAUGCGUAGAGAUCGGGAGGAAUACCAGUGGCGAAGGUGGCCUUCUGGACUGACACUGACACUGAGGUGCGAAAGCGUGGGUAGCAAACAGGAUUAGAUACCGUGUAGUC
rnacentral:rRNA from 1 species